rnacentral:rRNA from 1 species
UACAGAGGGGGCAAGCGUUGUUCGGAAUUACUGGGCGUAAAGGGCGCGUAGGCGGCCUGCUAAGUCGAACGUGAAAUCCCCGGGCUCAACCCGGGAACUGCGUCCGAUACUGACAGGCUCGAAUCCGGGAGAGGGAUGUGGAAUUCCAGGUGUAGCGGUGAAAUGCGUAGAUAUCUGGAGGAACACCGGUGGCGAAGGCGGCAUCCUGGGCCGGUAUUGACGCUGAGGCGCGAAAGCCAGGGGAGCAAACGGG